rnacentral:lncRNA from 1 species
UUAAAAACUAUUGCAAGUUAUUUAAUUAAUGCUAAGUGCUGUGAGUGAUGUGAGAGGAAGAAGAGAAGAGACAAUCCAAUGCAAACACAGAGUUUUAUAGUGGUUCGGAGCUACCCCUUGCUCCUACGUCCACUCCCCAAGUCUCUCUUGGGAAUUCACUAUAACCCCCUUGGAUUACAGCCGGUUGUUUUGCAAGUUCACAACCAAACUUGUUGUUUUACAAGCUCACAACGAACUCGGUCGGUUUUCCCAGGCUCACCGACUAGAACCAACCCCGAUUGUUUUCCCGGGCUCACAAUCAAACCCUUACACACGUUGGUUUUAACUUGGCUCACCAACCAACCUUAAUCCCCUUGAUUCAAUCCCCCGAUUGAACCAAGUAAAUACAAGUUGUAGAAAGAAAAUAGAAAAUGAGCUUCUCAAAAGCAGAUUUAAAACAAUAUAAUCAAAGAGGAGUUUAGAAGCCCUCAAACGCUUUUAAGCUGGAGAAGAGGUAAGGCUUCUUGAACUCCGGUCUCCUCUUGAAUGUGUAGUCGACUUGAAUG